GACGAACGCUGGCGGCGUGCUUAACACAUGCAAGUCGAACGCUGAAGCUUGGUGCUUGCACUGGGUGGAUGAGUGGCGAACGGGUGAGUAAUACGUGAGUAACCUGCCCUUGACUCUGGGAUAAGCCUAGGAAACUGGGUCUAAUACUGGAUACGACAUGUCACCGCAUGGUGGUGUGUGGAAAGGGUUUUACUGGUUUUGGAUGGGCUCACGGCCUAUCAGCUUGUUGGUGGGGUAAUGGCUCACCAAGGCGACGACGGGUAGCCGGCCUGAGAGGGUGACCGGCCACACUGGGACUGAGACACGGCCCAGACUCCUACGGGAGGCAGCAGUGGGGAAUAUUGCACAAUGGGCGGAAGCCUGAUGCAGCGACGCCGCGUGAGGGAUGACGGCCUUCGGGUUGUAAACCUCUUUCAGCACGGAAGAAGCGAAAGUGACGGUACGUGCAGAAGAAGCGCCGGCUAACUACGUG
rnacentral:rRNA from 1 species